AGCGUACACGGUGGAUGCCCUGGCAGUCAGAGGCGAUGAAGGACGUGCUAAUCUGCGAUAAGCGUCGGUAAGGUGAUAUGAACCGUUAUAACCGGCGAUUUCCGAAUGGGGAAACCCAGUGUGUUUCGACACACUAUCAUUAACUGAAUCCAUAGGUUAAUGAGGCGAACCGGGGGAACUGAAACAUCUAAGUACCCCGAGGAAAAGAAAUCAACCGAGAUUCCCCCAGUAGCGGCGAGCGAACGGGGAGCAGCCCAGAGCCUGAAUCAGUGUGUGUGUUAGUGGAAGCGUCUGGAAAGGCGCGCGAUACAGGGUGACAGCCCCGUACACAAAAAUGCACAUGCUGUGAGCUCGAUGAGUAGGGCGGGACACGUGGUAUCCUGUCUGAAUAUGGGGGGACCAUCCUCCAAGGCUAAAUACUCCUGACUGACCGAUAGUGAACCAGUACCGUGAGGGAAAGGCGAAAAGAACCCCGGCGAGGGGAGUGAAAAAGAACCUGAAACCGUGUACGUACAAGCAGUGGGAGCACGCUUAGGCGUGUGACUGCGUACCUUUUGUAUAAUGGGUCAGCGACUUAUAUUCUGUAGCAAGGUUAACCGAAUAGGGGAGCCGAAGGGAAACCGAGUCUUAACUGGGCGUUAAGUUGCAGGGUAUAGACCCGAAACCCGGUGAUCUAGCCAUGGGCAGGUUGAAGGUUGGGUAACACUAACUGGAGGACCGAACCGACUAAUGUUGAAAAAUUAGCGGAUGACUUGUGGCUGGGGGUGAAAGGCCAAUCAAACCGGGAGAUAGCUGGUUCUCCCCGAAAGCUAUUUAGGUAGCGCCUCGUGAAUUCAUCUCCGGGGGUAGAGCACUGUUUCGGCAAGGGGGUCAUCCCGACUUACCAACCCGAUGCAAACUGCGAAUACCGGAGAAUGUUAUCACGGGAGACACACGGCGGGUGCUAACGUCCGUCGUGAAGAGGGAAACAACCCAGACCGCCAGCUAAGGUCCCAAAGUCAUGGUUAAGUGGGAAACGAUGUGGGAAGGCCCAGACAGCCAGGAUGUUGGCUUAGAAGCAGCCAUCAUUUAAAGAAAGCGUAAUAGCUCACUGGUCGAGUCGGCCUGCGCGGAAGAUGUAACGGGGCUAAACCAUGCACCGAAGCUGCGGCAGCGACGCUUAUGCGUUGUUGGGUAGGGGAGCGUUCUGUAAGCCUGCGAAGGUGUGCUGUGAGGCAUGCUGGAGGUAUCAGAAGUGCGAAUGCUGACAUAAGUAACGAUAAAGCGGGUGAAAAGCCCGCUCGCCGGAAGACCAAGGGUUCCUGUCCAACGUUAAUCGGGGCAGGGUGAGUCGACCCCUAAGGCGAGGCCGAAAGGCGUAGUCGAUGGGAAACAGGUUAAUAUUCCUGUACUUGGUGUUACUGCGAAGGGGGGACGGAGAAGGCUAUGUUGGCCGGGCGACGGUUGUCCCGGUUUAAGCGUGUAGGCUGGUUUUCCAGGCAAAUCCGGAAAAUCAAGGCUGAGGCGUGAUGACGAGGCACUACGGUGCUGAAGCAACAAAUGCCCUGCUUCCAGGAAAAGCCUCUAAGCAUCAGGUAACAUCAAAUCGUACCCCAAACCGACACAGGUGGUCAGGUAGAGAAUACCAAGGCGCUUGAGAGAACUCGGGUGAAGGAACUAGGCAAAAUGGUGCCGUAACUUCGGGAGAAGGCACGCUGAUAUGUAGGUGAAGCGACUUGCUCGUGGAGCUGAAAUCAGUCGAAGAUACCAGCUGGCUGCAACUGUUUAUUAAAAACACAGCACUGUGCAAACACGAAAGUGGACGUAUACGGUGUGACGCCUGCCCGGUGCCGGAAGGUUAAUUGAUGGGGUUAGCGCAAGCGAAGCUCUUGAUCGAAGCCCCGGUAAACGGCGGCCGUAACUAUAACGGUCCUAAGGUAGCGAAAUUCCUUGUCGGGUAAGUUCCGACCUGCACGAAUGGCGUAAUGAUGGCCAGGCUGUCUCCACCCGAGACUCAGUGAAAUUGAACUCGCUGUGAAGAUGCAGUGUACCCGCGGCAAGACGGAAAGACCCCGUGAACCUUUACUAUAGCUUGACACUGAACAUUGAGCCUUGAUGUGUAGGAUAGGUGGGAGGCUUUGAAGUGUGGACGCCAGUCUGCAUGGAGCCGACCUUGAAAUACCACCCUUUAAUGUUUGAUGUUCUAACGUUGACCCGUAAUCCGGGUUGCGGACAGUGUCUGGUGGGUAGUUUGACUGGGGCGGUCUCCUCCUAAAGAGUAACGGAGGAGCACGAAGGUUGGCUAAUCCUGGUCGGACAUCAGGAGGUUAGUGCAAUGGCAUAAGCCAGCUUGACUGCGAGCGUGACGGCGCGAGCAGGUGCGAAAGCAGGUCAUAGUGAUCCGGUGGUUCUGAAUGGAAGGGCCAUCGCUCAACGGAUAAAAGGUACUCCGGGGAUAACAGGCUGAUACCGCCCAAGAGUUCAUAUCGACGGCGGUGUUUGGCACCUCGAUGUCGGCUCAUC
rnacentral:rRNA from 1 species